CAGCCGCCGCGGGAAUACGAAGGGUGCAAGCGUUACUCGGAAUUACUGGGCGUAAAGCGUGCGUAGGUGGUGGUUUAAGUCCGUUGUGAAAGCCCUGGGCUCAACCUGGGAAUUGCAGUGGAUACUGGGUCACUAGAGUGUGGUAGAGGAUAGUGGAAUUUCCGGUGUAGCAGUGAAAUGCGUAGAGAUCGGAAGGAACAUCUGUGGCGAAGGCGACUAUCUGGGCCAACACUGACACUGAGGCACGAAAGCGUGGGGAGCAAACAGGAUUAGAUACCCGAGUAGUCCCUGUCUCUUAUAA
rnacentral:rRNA from 1 species